GUCCAGGUGGCUUAGUGGUCAGAACAUCUGCCUAAUAAGCAGGAGACCCAGGUUCAAAUCCUGGUCCAGCACA